ACACCCUCAACCUUCUUGGUUUCUUGACCGGUAAGGCUUGGACUUUGGAGGUUGUCUUUGCUGGCCUCUCUUUGAAGCCAGCUCCUCCUAAAUGAAUUAGUGGGGUCCGCUUUGCCGAUCCUUGACGUGAUAAGUAUCCUUCUACGUCUUGGGUUUUGCACUGUUGCCCUGGAACCCGCUUCCAACGGUCUUCGUUUCGAAGACGAUGUUCGAGUUGCAUUGUGACUCGACCUCAACGA
rnacentral:misc_RNA from 1 species